AAUAUUGGUCAAUGGGCGCAAGCCUGAACCAGCCAUGCCGCGUGCAGGAUGACUGCCCUAUGGGUUGUAAACUGCUUUUGUACGGGAAGAAACCCCUCUACGUGUAGAGGCUUGACGGUACCGUAAGAAUAAGGAUCGGCUAACUCCGUGCCAGCAGCCGCGGUAAUACGGAGGAUCCGAGCGUUAUCCGGAAUCAUUGGGUUUAAAGGGUCCGUAGGCGGGCCGUUAAGUCAGGGGUGAAAGUCUGCGGCUCAACCGUAGGACUGCCCUUGAUACUGGCGGCCUUGAGUUAUGGCGAAGUGGCCAGAAUAUGUGGUGUAGCGGUGAAAUGCAUAGAUAUCACAUGGAAUACCGAUUGCGAAGGCAGGCCACUAGCCAUAUACUGACGCUGAUGGACGAAAGCGUGGGUAGC
rnacentral:rRNA from 1 species